UACGGAGGGGGCUAGCGUUGUUCGGAAUUAUUGGGCGUAAAGGGCGCGUAGGCGGCCGAAUAAGUCUGACGUGAAAUCCCCCGGCCCAACCGGGGAACUGCGUUUGAUACUGUUCGGCUCGAGUCCGGGAGAGGGUAGUGGAAUUCCCAGUGUAGCGGUGAAAUGCGUAGAUAUUGGGAGGAACACCGGUGGCGAAAGCGGCUUCCUGGACCAGCACCGACGUUCAGGCACGAAAGCGUGGGGAGCAAACAGG
rnacentral:rRNA from 1 species